GACGUAGGGCGCGAGCGUUGUCCGGAUUUAUUGGGCGUAAAGAGCUCGUAGGCGGCUCGUUGCGUCGGCUGUGAAAACCCGCAGCUCAACUGUGGGCUUGCAGCUGAUACGGGCGGGCUGGAGUUCGGUAGGGGAGACUGGAAUUCCUGGUGUAGCGGUGAAAUGCGCAGAUAUCAGGAAGAACACCAAUGGCGAAGGCAGCUCUCUGGGACGGUACUGACGCUGAGACGCGAAAGCGUGGGGAGCGAACAGG
rnacentral:rRNA from 1 species